rnacentral:lncRNA from 1 species
UCUUCUGCAAUUAUUCAUUUACCUGUGGACCCUCCUCUAACCCCUUCUAAGCAACUGUAAGCUCUGAGGGCAGCAGCCACGUUGUCUUUUGUUCUCUGUAGUUCCCGGGACAGUGCCUGCCACAGAGCAGAUGUGAAUGAGCAGCAGAGGCGUAUGAUUCUACAGAUGACAAAGGAGGCCGUCGGUGGAGGGUCCUAUCUCACCCAAAUCCGUGAGAGUGAUUACCCAGUGGUUGCUUUGGCCCAUUCAACCAGGAAACAGGAUUCUUCUCUUCUUUUUGGCUACUAAAUGCCUAUGUGUACUACACACACCUGUGAGGGAAGAAGGGCGGAGCUUCUUGGAUGAUGAUGGACAUUCCACUGGACAGGAUGAGGGCAGAGAGUGUGCCAUCGACACCACAAGGGUGCAGCGUGAACUUCCUCAUCUCCCUUCCCAUCCAGCU